CCUACACCACAGCUCAUGGCAACGCCAGAUCCUUAACCCACUGAGCGAGGCCAGGGAUCGAACCCGCAACCUCAUGGUUCCUAGUCAGAUUCUUUAACCACUGCGCCACGACAGGACUCCUCUAGGUAAAUGUUUUGUUUAGCUGUGUUCAUUCCUCAUAUGCAAUCAAAACUACCCCCACCCCAUUUCCUAUUAUAUCUUAAGUUUUAAAAAAUGAUAUUAUAGCAUUAUUAUAUAAUAUUCAGAAAAUUUAAAUUUUACAAAAUGUAUAAUAUUCUGCUCAGGGCAUGUACCAUAGUUUCCUAUACUUCUUCCCUAUUAGAUUGGACGUUUAGUUUCCCACCGUUCCACAUAUUUAUUGAUGGAAUAAAUGUUUUUGUGUACAAAGUUUUAUCUUUGCUUAGGAGUACUUUCUCAGGCUAAAGCCUCAAAAGCAGAAUUACUGGGUUAAAGGGUAUGGUUUUUUUUUUUUUUUUUAAAUUUUUCAGGAUGUGGAUAAGCUUUAUUAUAGAACCAUAGGUACCAGUUGAACUACUCCUGCAGAGGUGCGAAGUGAUCUGAGAUGUGUGUGUGUUUCUGUUCUUCCCUUCAAAAAAUUCCACUUAGCUCUUCUUUGUAUCUUCUCUUUCUCUGCUGAGACAGUUUUUCUCUUCAUUUCAAAAAUGUUUGCCCUUACUUGUUGAAGCGUUUUUGUCAGAGCCCUUUAACGCUGCUUUGUCAGAAAAUUCCAACAUCUCUGUCAUCUUAGAGUGGUGUGCUUACCUUACUUAUUUGAAUUGAAAUUUUCCUUACCAUUGAUUUGCCAAGUAAUGUUGGACUCAUCCCAGACAUUAUUUUUGUUACAUUAGCAUUUCAGCAGGCAGUUGACCCUGUUGGGUUUUAGGCUGCAAGUUUAGCUCAGCCCUCUGUGGGUUGUGGUUUCCUUGUUUUGUUUUCGAAGCCUUUGCAUGGCUAUUCCGGUGCGUCUCAUGUGUGUGCCCCUCCGUGUCUGUGACUUGGUGGUCAUCUACCCCGCUGUUGAGCUGAUAAGAAUGUGUCGUAUGCUCUUCGGUCGGACCCUGCCUGCGCCGCUUGGGGAUGAAGCGAGGCGCUCAUGAACAACUAAUGUUGUUGUCAGUGCCACCGUUCCAGUUGCUGGGGAGCUGGGACGUGAGAGAAUGGAGAGAAGAAGAAAAGCCUGGCAGGCGAUGGUUUCGCCCACUCUCUGAACUAGGCGACCCCUUCCCCACUCUCUGAAGCCAGAGCUAGAGAGCAUUUCCUGCAGCGCCUCAGUCCGCCCUGAUGCCUGCUUCCGGGUAAGCUCAGCCUGGGGGAUGGUAACGGAUAAACAAGUCCUUCACUCUUCUGUGGGUCAGUGGUGCUUUGCAAUCUUCCUUAAUUCAUCCGCUGCCAUUUACUCCUCAGAACACUCAAAUUCCUGCUCCAUCCGGGCGGUCCAGGUUUUACAGCUGCGUUCAGUGGAGAGGCCGAGGGGACGUGCUUACUCUUCCUUACUUGGAUCUGAUGUGAGUCCUAGCAGCAACCCGGAAGAAGAAGUGAAGAGGAAAGAGCAGAGGGUGCCCAUCCUGGCUUUUGAGGAGGUUUCCCAGAACAUGCCAGAACAUAUUGUUUGUUGAUCGGAGCUCAAGACGCUUGGCUAGUCCUCGCUGCAAGGUUCGCUGAGGAGUGUAGUCUUUUGGGCCAGGCAGCAGUGGGUUCUAGCUGAGAACUUGGGGUUCUGUUUCUGAGAAAGUAAAGGAGAAUGGGUGUGCACAGGCAGUGGGAAGCGGCUGCCACAGUGUUGCUUUCUGUGGAAUUGUGAGAUGAUAUGUGUUGUAAAAUAAGCAAGUGAACAUAGAGGUCUAAAAAGUCAAAAAAGUGAAUGACUGGGGUGGGCUUGCCUCCUACCCUUCCACCUGCCGCAGGAUCUCACCGCUCUUAACAGCCUGAUGAAUAGUUCUUUAGGGUGUGUGUGUGUGUGUAAUUUAAAAACUGUGGCAUCCUACUAAACAUCUUAUAAUUUUCUUUCCGUAAUAUACAGAUUGUCUGCAGGCACACCAUGCAUACAGCACUCGCUCUGUGGAUGUAUCCACUGCAUUUUAUUCUCUCCUGCUGAUAGACAGCUUAAAAAUAUGCUACGGAGAAGAUUCUUGAACAUGUAUCUCGGCAUACUUUGUGCAAAUAUUUUUCAUUUGUUUUUCUUGAGAGCUACUAAUAUUAAGCUUUUUGUUUUGCACAAAUCUUCCCAAUUUGUUGUUUGCCUUCAGUUUUGUUAUAUUUUCUUUUUUUAACCCAUGAAAGUUUUAAGUCACAUUUUUGGUCUUUUUCUUCCUGUCGUCUGUCUCUUUUAAAUGUAGAAAGUAGUUGUGAGAUGGUCACAUCUUUUUUCUCUCGUGUUUUCUGUGCCUUGAUUUUGUACUUUUAACGCUAAUCGAUCCAAAAUUACUCUGGGUGUAUGGCGUGAGGUAACACUCUAAAUUAAAACCUUUCCCUGUUUUUAAUGCAUUGCCACUGAAUUCAGUAAAUUUUAUUUUUGCCUUGUUAAUGACAUGCUCCUGAUUAAAUGAAAACUGACCAGAAAUGAAACAAA